UACGGAGGGGGCUAGCGUUGUUCGGAAUUACUGGGCGUAAAGGGCGCGUAGGCGGCCUUCUAAGUCGAACGUGAAAUCCCCGGGCUCAACCCGGGAACUGCGUCCGAUACUGGAAGGCUUGAAUCCGGGAGAGGGAUGCGGAAUUCCAGGUGUAGCGGUGAAAUGCGUAGAUAUCUGGAGGAACACCGGUGGCGAAGGCGGCAUCCUGGACCGGUAUUGACGCUGAGGCGCGAAAGCCAGGGGAGCAAAGCGGG
rnacentral:rRNA from 1 species